rnacentral:miRNA from 1 species
AUUUUAGCAUAAAUAUAUACCAUGCAGUAUUUGAAACAUACUUACACUAAAA